AUUGAACGCUGGCGGCAUGCCUUACACAUGCAAGUCGAACGGUAACAGGUCUUCGGAUGCUGACGAGUGGCGAACGGGUGAGUAAUACAUCGGAACGUGCCCGAUCGUGGGGGAUAACUACUCGAAAGAGUAGCUAAUACCGCAUACGAUCUACGGAUGAAAGCGGGGGAUCUUCGGACCUCGUGCGGACGGAGCGGCCGAUGGCAGAUUAGGUAGUUGGUGGGAUAAAAGCUUACCAAGCCGACGAUCUGUAGCUGGUCUGAGAGGACGACCAGCCACACUGGGACUGAGACACGGCCCAGACUCCUACGGGAGGCAGCAGUGGGGAAUUUUGGACAAUGGGCGAAAGCCUGAUCCAGCAAUGCCGCGUGCAGGAUGAAGGCCUUCGGGUUGUAAACUGCUUUUGUACGGAACGAAAAGACUCCUUCUAAUACAGGGGGUCCAUGACGGUACCGUAAGAAUAAGCACCGGCUAACUACGUGCCAGCAGCCGCAGUAA
rnacentral:rRNA from 1 species